UACGUAGGUGGCAAGCGUUAUCCGGAUUUACUGGGUGUAAAGGGUGCGCAGGCGGGCCUUUAAGCCGGCGGUGAAAUCGCGGGGCUCAACCCCGCCGAGCCGUCGGAACUGGGGGCCUUGAGUGCGGCGGAGGCAUGCGGAAUGCGCGGUGUAGCGGUGAAAUGCAUAGAUAUCGCGCAGAACUCCGAUUGCGAAGGCAGCGUACCGGCGCCAGACUGACGCUGAGGCACGAAAGCGUGGGGAUCGAACAGG
rnacentral:rRNA from 1 species